UACGGAGGGUGCAAGCGUUAUCCGGAUUCACUGGGUUUAAAGGGUGUGUAGGCGGGUAUUUAAGUCAGUGGUGAAAUCUCCAGGCUCAACCUGGAAACUGCCAUUGAUACUAUUUAUCUUGAAUAUUGUUGAGGUAGGCGGAAUAUAUCAUGUAGCGGUGAAAUGCUUAGAUAUGAUAUAGAACACCGAUUGCAAAGGCAGCUUACUAAACAAUCAUUGACGCUGAGGCACGAAAGCGUGGGGAUCAAACAGG
rnacentral:rRNA from 1 species